GACGAACGCUGGCGGCGUGCUUAACACAUGCAAGUCGAACGGAAAGGCCCUGCUUCUGUGGGGUGCUCGAGUGGUGAACGGGUGAGUAACACGUGAGUAACCUGCCCUUGACUUUGGGAUAACUUCAGGAAACUGGGGCUAAUACCGGAUAGGAGCUCCUGCUGCAUGGUGGGGGUUGGAAAGUUUCGGCGGUUGGGGAUGGACUCGCGGCUUAUCAGCUUGUUGGUGGGGUAGUGGCUUACCAAGGCUUUGACGGGUAGCCGGCCUGAGAGGGUGACCGGCCACAUUGGGACUGAGAUACGGCCCAGACUCCUACGGGAGGCAGCAGUGGGGAAUAUUGCACAAUGGGCGGAAGCCUGAUGCAGCAACGCCGCGUGCGGGAUGACGGCCUUCGGGUUGUAAACCGCUUUCGCCUGUGACGAAGCGUGAGUGACGGUAAUGGGUAAAGAAGCACCGGCUAACUACGUG
rnacentral:rRNA from 1 species